GAUUAGUUUCGCCGGUUCGUGACAUAGUCCAGAUUCGAAAUAAAAGUCGUCGCGGAAAAGUUCGUAUAAAUGAAGAAUAUUAAUAUUAUUGUGCAUUAUCAUUGUCAUCGCCUAAUUGUCAUCGAAAUGAAAAAAGAAUUCUUUCGUAUCUACAACGAGCCGUAGUUCGAGUAUCGUCAUAAUCAUUUACCUAUGUACGUACAAUUGCGAAAGGUGGUACAACGAGUAAAGGAUCUUAGAAAACUGUCCUCGGAGAUUUUCCAAGAUUGCGGACUAGAGACAAAGCACCGUUACUUCGUUCAGACAUAAACUGGCUGGUAUACACGUGUACUAUGGUUACUAUGUUAGAGGGAUGCAUUGUACGAACGAACGAAGAAUGAAGAAAAUUAUGCACGUACGUGUUGCAAGGCGUGUCCUAGGAUUUACUUCCGUCACAACGAUAGAUAGAAAUGACAGGAGAGAUUGCUGUUGUACAAAGCUGCGGGAUGCUUGUCGAACGCCCCUCUUCACCGUUUCAAUGCUACAAUCGUUUCGGACUACUGACAACUGUAACACCAUAGAACGACGAGCAAGAUACCCAUGAGAAUCUCGUCCCAAAUCCAUGUGGGCGUAAGACGAUGUGACGAUUACGAUUAUGAGACGUACAAUUUCUCGAAUGAAAUUUAAAACAGAUAAAAAAGUUUCAACUACUCGACGUCGGCAGUCAGAGGAAUGACAAAGAGCUUUCAAACGAUCCGACAAUGUUCGCCUGACUGACGCAGGACACGAGCCCGUAAGACUUGUUUUCUUUCGACACCAGAAACGACAGCGAACGUUUUAGAUGUAACAUAGCGGCAAACGGCAUCAACGACGGAUGAGAGUGAAAGAGAGAGUGAGAUCAUGGACCACUCACGUCGUACGAGGAAGCGGCUUCUCCGUGCACUUUUUGCCGCUUGUGUAAUUGAGCCUGUCUCGUCCGACUACCGUCCAAAUGAAUUACGAGGCGCCGUCCGCGUCGUCCUCGUGAAUUCCUUCCGUGGAAGCACUUUCACCUCCUCCUCCUCCUCCUCCUCCUCUCCCCCCAUUUCUCCCUUUAGAUUUCAUAUCGGUUACACCCAAAAAGAAUCAUUCGAAAAAUAUAUCGAUUCAUUGAUUAUAUCUAACUGCAAGAAAGAUAUAAGAAAAAUAAUAAUUACUGUAAUUAGAGUAGAAAGUACUCAUUAAUUAUAAAGUUUAUCGUUUAUUCUGUUAAUAGAGUUUGAUAAAUCGUAUCUGGCUUAAUGAGAAAGGUUUCUCUAGGAAAAAUCGAUACUCCAAAAUAAAGUUUGUAGUUUGACCUGCACCAAAUCUUCGCGCCAGUUCUUUCAUCUAAAUGCCAUCUUAAGAAUUUCAAAGAAACUAAUAUCGAUACAUACCGACAGCUAGAUGUUUUACCGACCGAUGUUUUACCGACCGAUCUAUUACCGACGGUACGAUGUAUCAACCUACAAAUCGAUAUAUUACUAACAUCUCGAUGUAUUACCAACAUUAUGAAUUUGAAAAAUUUAGCAAAUAAAUAUUAUAAAAAUCAGCUAAUUGAUUUAAUCGCAGACAAUUAGCUCGACGGUACUUGCGUUAGAACGUGAUUUUUUAAAUUACAUCGCAAAUAAUAUCAAUUGUCUAAAUAAGAAUUAUGCAAAAUAUUCGGAAAUAGAACGAAUUCGAACGAUUUCAGAAGAGCGAUGAUAUUUACUAUACUAAAUGCUACGAUGUAACGAAAGAAGAAUCAGCCAGGUUGUAACCUUUAAUUUAAUUCAUUUUCUUUACAUUUCCUCUUGUCGAUAACUCCAAGACACCAUCGAUCUCCAAUACUAUAUCAUAACGCUACUCUACGUUAAUUAAUGAACUUGUAUAAUAUUACGCUAUAUUAAUUGAUUAUCUUGAAAAAUCUAGAAAAAUUAGAGUUUAUCUUACAAUAACAUCACAAUGAAGCUAUUCUCGUUUCGAUACAAUUGAUAAAGCGUCGUAAUUCGAUUGGCAAUUAAUUUAUCUGCUAAAUCAUUUGACAUUCAAAUGCUAUAAAAAAAAAAAGAAAGAAAAAAAAAUAUCAAGUAAAUUUAAACAUUUACAUUAUUAAUUAUUAAUACGUGUUACCAGAUAUCAAAGAACUUUGUUUACGUUAUUACGGAAACGUAAUAAAAUAGGAAAAUAUAAUAAAUAUAAUAAAAUGAAAUAUAUAUAAUAUCGAAUGAUAUCAAAAUAAAAUACAAGGAAAAUCUUAAAAUAAUAUAUAAAUAGGAACAUCGUGAGAAAAUUAAUUAAACACCUCGAAUAACAAACUUUAUUUACAUUCACAUCAUAAUAUAUCCAUAACCGAAACCAAAGCGUAUUCAAAUAUUGGUAAAAUAUUUGUAGACCAAUAUCGAGAACAUAUCUUUUACAUCGUUUCAUCAUUUGUUUUUUUCUUUUUUUUUUUUUUUUCUUUCCAUCUUCUUCUUCCAUAGAUACUUUCUAUCUAUUGUUGUUAUUGUUGUUGUUGUUGUUAUUGUUUUUUUUUCAAACAACAAACACGCAUUGACAUCGUUUUUUGAACGUCAUUCCGUAAUAAAAAAAAAAAUUCUUCCUUACAAUGACGUAGGAUAUUUCGUCAUCGAUCUUAACGUUGCAUUUUGCGCAUUUUACACACACAUAUAUAUAUACGUGUAUAUAUAUAUAUAUAUAUAUAUAUAUAUAUAUAUAUAUAUAUAUAUUUACACAUAUAUACGGAUACGUACACAUACAUUUGAGCAAAUAAUAUAAAAAUAAUUCUGAGGUACUCUCGUCUUCCUCGUAGUCUGAAUUCCUUAACUAAUUGGCAGAUCACGUUUCUCACGAUAAUCUUGUUAUCUUGUAACUCCAUUUCUAUUCUCUCUCUCUCUCUCUCUCUCUCCCUCUUUUUGGUUUCUAAUCCUUUUCUCCUCUUCUCUCUUAUUGUUCAUCUCCAACGAUCAUUAACCUUACAAUUGUUCUCGUCGUCAUUAUCAUCAUCUCGUCCUCGUCCUCGUCCUCGUCGUCGUCGUCGUCGUCGUCGUCGUCGUCAUCGUCAUCAUAAUCAUUGUUGUCGUUGUUUUCGAUUUACACGUUUUCCCUACGACAUAGGUUCUAACCCAUGAACGAUAUUUAGGCACAGGGGAAGUCCUGAUCAUUUUUAUUCCGCUGUGUUUAUGUACGUGUGUCUCUUCUGUCUAUGACUAUGGUGUAUGUAUGUAUGUGUGUGCGUUUGUAUGUGUUUCUCUGUAUAUGACAAAGAGAAAGAAAGAGAGAAGAAGAGGGAGAGAGAGAGAGAGAGAAAGAGAGAGAGAGAGAGAGAGAG